UUUGCCUUUGCCUCGCUGAGAGGCGUCAUGGGGCAUAGAUAAUCCUGGGCACGGUGAGCUUCUGUGAGCCGGUACGGAGCCCUGGGCGAUUCAGCUGCGCCUCAGCUCCUGCACAAGUUUUCCUCAAAAGAACUUGUACGGUAUAAAGUUACAGUGAUGUAGGAGUAUGAUGUUCUGAUAUGCACAAGCAGUGACUAAUGUACAUUUCUGAAAAGC
rnacentral:lncRNA from 1 species